rnacentral:lncRNA from 1 species
UAAAUAAUUCAAUAAAUUUAACUCUUUGUAUUUAUAAAUUCUAUUAAUUAAAAUUUUAAACAUCCUAACCAAAACUUUCAAUUUUUAAAACUGAGUUUUUCUAAUUCCUGGUUGUUCUUAGAUUGAGCACACAGAUUUUGAAACCAAAUAACUACAAAAGAUUAGAGAACCAAACACUCAGACUCCCGUGACCUGCAUUUGGUGCUAUCCUUCCUCCUCUUUGCAUCCUGUUCCUUUCAUUGUUUAAAAAAAAAAAAAUUAUCUAUACAGAGUUUGAGCUACCGAACCAAUCAACCCCCAUGUGUCCCUUUCUUUCUUGUUUCAUUCAUUCUUUCAAACACUAUUUUUAAAAGGUUUUUUAAGGUACUCACUCCACCAUUUCCC